AAAUUCCUGGGAUGUGCGACAAUCCUGAUAUUUUGAACCUACAGUAAUUGAAUCGGGAUGCUAAUAUUUAUAAGAAGAUGUCAAGCCGUCGUUUGCAGCGGAAGAUUGAAACUUAUGUGAGGCGACCCACCUAGCAUUGGCUAGGAGUCAAAAUUCAGGAAACGGCAUUUUGGGUUCUUA
rnacentral:other from 1 species